rnacentral:ncRNA from 1 species
AAGGCCUGAUGUGUGUGAGAUUACCCGCUGAAUUUAAGCAUAUAAGUAAGCGGAGGAAAAGAAACUAACUAGGAUUCCCUUAGUAAUGGCGAAUGAACAGGGAUCAGCUCAGUGCCAAAUCGGAAUCACUUGUGGUUCUGAAAUGUGGCUUGAAGGCAGUACCAGUGGCAUCGCGGACGAAAGUCUCUUGGAAAAGAGCGUCAUAGAGGGUGAGAAUCCCGUGAGUCGUUCGCCGUUUGUCACGUACGGUCUGCGUUCUAACGAGUCGCGUUCCUUGGGAUUGGAGCGUAAACGGGUGGUAAAUUUCAUCCAAAGCAAAAUAUAUACUCGAGACCGAUAGCACAAAAGUACCGUGAGGGAAAGGGUGAAAAGAACUUGAGAAGAGGGUAAAUAGUGCCUGAAAUCGUUGAGAAGGAAGCGGAUGCCGGCCGUGCAUAUGCUGAUUGUAGGAUUGCUGCUCGCUCCU